GGGGUAGUAAAGGUUUCGACAGGGGUUUUGAAGCUGGUGAAGCUAUUCGCAGGUGAUGCGUCAAAUCACAAACUUAAAUAUAAACGCUGAAGAUAAUUUAGCAUACGCUGCCUAAUGGCAGCAGUCUGACCUAGAGCACUCACACUUUAGGAUCCAGGCUUCGACUAUGUGAGAAACGACUUUGACAAAGCUUUGAGUCACUGGGCGUAUUAUGAAGCUACUGAAAGUAUUGGGGUGUUGGUUUCCUGAUACCAGAGGGAAUGAGGGCUUGCCCACAAUAAUCAACUAUAAUAGUAGAAGAACAGUGAAUGGGCUUUUGGACACGGGUUCGACUCCCGUCUACUCCACU
rnacentral:tmRNA from 1 species